rnacentral:rRNA from 1 species
GGUGAACGCUGGCGGCGUGCUUAAGACAUGCAAGUCGAACGGCAGUCUUCGGACUGUAGUGGCGCACGGGUGAGUAACGCGUAACUGACCUACCCCAAAGUCGCGGAUAACGAUUCGAAAGAAUCGCUAAUACGUGAUGUGCUGUCAGAUUGUGUUCUGCCAGUAAAGAUUGAUUGCUUUGGGAUGGGGUUGCGUUCCAUCAGCUAGUUGGUGGGGUAAAGGCCCACCAAGGCGACGACGGAUAGCCGGCCUGAGAGGGUGGCCGGCCACAGGGGAACUGAGACACGGGUCCCACUCCUACGGGAGGCAGCAGGUAGGAAUCUUCCACAAUGGGCGAAAGCCUGAUGGAGCGACGCCGCGUGAGGGAUGAAGGUCUUCGGAUCGUAAACCUCUGGAUCAGGGACGAAAGACACUUCGGUGGGAUGACGGUACCUGAGUAAUAGCACCGGCUAACUCCGUGCCAGCCGCCGCGGUAACAC